rnacentral:rRNA from 1 species
UACGAAGGAUUCGAGCGUUAUCCGGAUUUAUUGGGUUUAAAGGGUGCGUAGGUGGACUAAUAAGUCAGUGGUGAAAGCCCGGAGCUCAACUCCGGAACUGCCAUUGAUACUGUUAGUCUUGAGUACAGUUGAGGUGGGCGGAAUGUGUCAUGUAGCGGUGAAAUGCUUAGAUAUGACAUAGAACACCAAUUGCGAAGGCAGCUGGCUACACAAAUAUUGACACUGAGGCACGAAAGCGUGGGGAUCAAACAGG